CUCCUUGCUCUCACCACUGUAUUCCCUAGUAUGUGCACCACCCCGGCAUCCCUGCAAUUAUUCAAAAAUUGUAACUCCUCAACCUCCAUUUGGCUGCUUGUUUGACCUGAUGACCUAAUUGUGUAAUUUGCAUUUACAGGUGAUUUAACUGGCACGAUCGAGUCAACAGAUGAAAUUAUGGAAUCUACUGCAGCAGAUGUUGUAUUUCCAUUAUUCAACAGGGCAUCUCUUGAUUGCUCAAUUCGCUGACUGUAUAAACUAUACUCAUCGGAGUCUGAACACCCUUCCAUCAUAGACUCGAGCCGGACAAACAAGAGGAGGUUAUCAAAGAGUUUCUUCUCAAAAUCCUCAUCUUUCUUAUGUAGGUCUUUAUAGCCAUACCUUGAAACACAACGGAACAUGUGAAAAUUCUUUGGUCCAAUACGCUUGACCAGGAAUCUCUCUUCUUCAGGAACUGUGUAGACAGGAAGAUACUUUACGCAUACAAAUACGACAACAGAAUGGAUAGCAGGUAGAUUUGU
rnacentral:misc_RNA from 1 species